GCCCAGCUGGCUCAGCUGGUGAGCACAUGACUCCUGAUCUCGGGGUUGGGAGUUUGAGUCCCACGCUGGGUG
rnacentral:tRNA from 1 species